rnacentral:lncRNA from 1 species
CCCCUCUCCAGGACCACCCUCUCCGGGCAGGCUGACAUAGGAGCACCAUGUAGAGCAUGUGUGCAGGCAGGGACCAGAGUAUCAACAAUACAAGUGGUAUGUGCUGGCAGGUGAUCUGCUGGCCAUUCCCAAUGGGAUCACUUCUAGCCUUCGAUUCAGAGUCAUUUGAACACACAUGUUGUAGUGCACUACACACACGCAGCAGCAACUGGACUGAGCAAGAGGACUGCUCACAGGAUGAGGCUUCAGGUGAAGGAGGUCACCAGAGAGAAGGACAACAGAUGAAGAGCUGAAGGAUCAACAGAACAGAGGCAAUGUUCCUCAUCCAGCCACACAGCCACAAAACUGGAAGCUCAAUCCCAAUUUCCCGAAUUCCAAUCUAUUCAUGUCUUUGAAGCUAGG